rnacentral:rRNA from 1 species
GAGUAAGACCAAGCGGCGGACGGGUGAGUAACGCGUGGGUAACCUACCCUAUACACAUGGAUAACAUACUGAAAAGUUUACUAAUACAUGAUAAUAUAUAUUUACGGCAUCGUAGAUAUAUCAAAGUGUUAGCGGUAUAGGAUGGACCCGCGUCUGAUUAGCUAGUUGGUGAGAUAACUGCCCACCAAGGCGACGAUCAGUAGCCGACCUGAGAGGGUGAUCGGCCACAUUGGAACUGAGACACGGUCCAAACUCCUACGGGAGGCAGCAGUGGGGAAUAUUGCACAAUGGGCGCAAGCCUGAUGCAGCAACGCCGCGUGAACGAUGAAGGUCUUCGGAUCGUAAAGUUCUGUUGCAGGGGAAGAUAAUGACGGUACCCUGUGAGGAAGCCCCGGCUAACUACGUGCCAGCAGCCGCGGUAAUACGUAGGGGGCUAGCGUUAUCCGGAUUUACUGGGCGUAAAGGGUGCGUAGGUGGUCUUUCAAGUCGGUGGUUAAAGGCUACGGCUCAACCGUAGUUAGCCUCCGAAACUGGAAGACUUGAGUGCAGGAGAGGAAAGUGGAAUUCCCAGUGUAGCGGUGAAAUGCGUAGAUAUUGGGAGGAACACCAGUAGCGAAGGCGGCUUUCUGGACUGCAACUGACACUGAGGCACGAAAGCGUGGGUAGCAAACAGGAUUAGAUACCCUGGUAGUCCACGCUGUAAACGAUGAGUACUAGGUGUCGGGGGUUACCCCCCUCGGUGCCGCAGCUAACGCAUUAAGUACUCCGCCUGGGGAGUACGCACGCAAGUGUGAAACUCAAAGGAAUUGACGGGGACCCGCACAAGUAGCGGAGCAUGUGGUUUAAUUCGAAGCAACGCGAAGAACCUUACCUAAGCUUGACAUCCCUUAGACCGGUGUUUAAUCACACCUUCCCUUCGGGGCUGAGGUGACAGGUGGUGCAUGGUUGUCGUCAGCUCGUGUCGUGAGAUGUUGGGUUAAGUCCCGCAACGAGCGCAACCCUUGUCUUUAGUUGCCAGCAUUCAGUUGGGCACUCUAGAGAGACUGCCAGGGAUAACCUGGAGGAAGGUGGGGAUGACGUCAAAUCAUCAUGCCCCUUAUGCUUAGGGCUACACACGUGCUACAAUGGGUGGUACAGAGGGUUGCCAAACCGUGAGGUGGAGCUAAUCCCUUAAAGCCAUUCUCAGUUCGGAUUGUAGGCUGAAACUCGCCUACAUGAAGCUGGAGUUACUAGUAAUCGCAGAUCAGAAUGCUGCGGUGAAUGCGUUCCCGGGUCU